ensembl:lncRNA
CGGAAAAUGGAGGCUGGGCACCGGGGAAUUAGCUCAAAUGGUAGAGCGCUCGCUUAGCAUGCGAGAGGUAGCGGGAUCGAUGCCCGCAUUCUCCAGUGGAGGGUUGUUUUCUUUCCUCAAACCUCUACUUUCACCCCUGCUGCGAAGGCAUGUUUUAACCCCAACAUAAAGCGUAGCGCGGAGCUCGCGGUGUCGCUUCUGGGAUACACGGCUGUGAUUCAGCGGCUCUGCCCCUCCUUGGAGGACAAGCUCGACUUCCCGCGCGGCGGGUAACCUGCCCGACCAGCCCAGCCCGUGGCUCCGCCGUCGCCAGUGACAGCGGAGCCGGGCCCUUCCACUUGUCCUGCCUGUGCGUUAAUUCAACAACAACGUAACGAUUGUAGAGCGGGCUGAGCCGCGAACGUUUCCGAUUUAAGCAUAACCCUUACAAAACCCCUUAUCCUCCUCAUAGGCUGAGAGAGAGAGAGAGAAAAAAAAACUUUGAAGAAUGUUAAUGAUUUAGCCCAACAGCUCAUUAGCACCGUGAAAGCAGCUUUAAGAAGAGGGGAGAAGCAUUUCUGAACAACGACUUCAUGGUUUUGCUGCUGAGGGGGAACGUGGAUGCUUGGCUGUACCAAACCCACGAGUUAAUCCAGUUAGUUGAAACAAAAUGUUCAAGUUCAGUCUUCUAAUCUCAUUUCCAACGCUGAUCCUAUUAGCAUUUCUAAGGAAAAGCUGCUGGGGACUGAGAUGGGACCUCCACACCACCCCCUGUGGAAAGGGCAGGUUUGGGAUCACGGAAGGCAACAGAGGAGCCAGCAUGCACUGUGUUGAACCCAAAAACACCUGCAAACCAACCUGCUGUUUUGGUGCUGGCCAACGGACUCCAUUUUGCCCCUCCACAUCAAUCUCCAGAAAACACGUACUGUUUUCUGAUUGAAACUGUUGAGAUUCUGAUUGACACUGUUGAGAUUUCAAUCCUUUUUCAUUUAGUUGAACGUCGUCAACGUGCUUACAGAUCAACCUUGAAGGACAUACGGGCAUCCACACGGGCAUGGUCUGACCAAAACUGCCCGUAAAUAAGAUCUGCCAAGACCUAUGCCUUGUUGCAUUCUACAGUCAUGAAAACCCAUUAUUUUAACAUGAGAAGCCUGACGUUUUCCCUUCAGGAUCUGAAGCUCCACAUACAAAGUGUAAAGCUUGAACUUCUUUUAUCUUCUGCUUCCUGAUAGUCCCGGUGAUAUCCAUCCUUGUCCUCUCCCUGCUGAGAUGAAAAUUUGCAGAGCAACAGAUAAUGCAUGGGAUAUACAGUACAGAAAGAAGAAAAGCAGUCUUGCAUUAAGUUACUGCAGGACUUCAUCUGUGCUUGCUGCAACUUCUUCCCUCAAGAUAUCACAGGAUUAUCUUUACCUACUUACGUAGUUCACAGCUUCUUGCUUCACAUUUAGUUUGGAAGGCUCUUGUAAACAAGCCACAUGCAGUGUGCAUUUGUAUUAAGGCAACAGAGCCAAAG